rnacentral:rRNA from 1 species
AAUGAACGCUGGCGGCAUGCCUUACACAUGCAAGUCGAACGGCAGUAUGACCUAGCUUGCUAGGUUGAUGGCGAGUGGCGAACGGGUGAGUAAUGCAUCGGAACGUGCCUUUUAGUGGGGGAUAACGUAGCGAAAGUUACGCUAAUACCGCAUAUUCUCUGAGGAGGAAAGCAGGGGACCUUCGGGCCUUGCGCUAGAAGAGCGGCCGAUGUCGGAUUAGCUAGUUGGUGAGGUAAAGGCUCACCAAGGCAACGAUCCGUAGCGGGUCUGAGAGGAUGAUCCGCCACACUGGGACUGAGACACGGCCCAGACUCCUACGGGAGGCAGCAGUGGGGAAUUUUGGACAAUGGGCGCAAGCCUGAUCCAGCCAUGCCGCGUGAGUGAAGAAGGCCUUCGGGUUGUAAAGCUCUUUCGGCUGGGAAGAAAUCGCACCCUCUAAUACAGGGUGUGGAUGACGGUACCAGCAUAAGAAGCACCGGCUAACUACGUG